UACAGAGGUCUCAAGCGUUGUUCGGAUUCAUUGGGCGUAAAGGGUGCGUAGGCGGCGCGGUAAGUCGGGUGUGAAAUCUCGGAGCUUAACUCCGAAACUGCAUUCGAUACUGCCGUGCUUGAGGACUGGAGAGGAGACUGGAAUUUACGGUGUAGCGGUGGAAUGCGCAGAUAUCAGGAGGAACACCGGUGGCGAAGGCGCCACUCUGGGCCGGUACUGACGCUGAGGAGCGAAAGCGUGGGGAGCGAACAGG
rnacentral:rRNA from 1 species